AUGCAAACGCGGCCGGCACGUGGGCGCCCCCCAGCCCCGGAGCUGCAAGGGCUCGGGGCCCGGCGCGGCUUCCUCCCGGCCCGCGGGCACAGGACGGCAGGGAGCGCCCGGCGUGGGUGCGCGGCCGGCGGGCGGCGCGGGGAGGCGGGAGCGCGCGGCGCCCCCUGCCGACCGGCCCGGCCCCCCGGGAGCGGACUCGGGCUCCCGCCGCGCCCCCGCGGGCUCGGUCCGUCACGGAGGCGCCGCGGGCUCGGGACGCCUUCCCGGGGCGCACGGCCGCUCGGGGCGGGGCCCUGGGGCCCGACCGCGGAGCCCGGGCGGCUGCGGCGAGGCGGCGCACUUACCCGGGGCCUGCGAGCGCGGGCGCGGCGCGGGCCGGGCGGCGAGGCGGGGCGAGCGCGGCUCCCGGCGCAGGAGGGCGGCGGCGGCCAGUCGGAGGAGCCGGCCGCGGGGGCGCCCCGGCACAGGCAGCGGCAGCAGCGCCGCCAGCGCGCAGAGCCCGGAGCGCGCGUGGGCCCGCCGGCGGCCGAGCCCUCACACGUGCCGCGCAGCGACGCGCCGCCGCCAGUCGGCCCCGCCCCCGCGCAGGCCCCGCCCCCGCCAAGCCCCGCCCCACGUAGGCCCCGCCCCCGCCAAGCCCCGCCCCCCGCGUCCCCGCGCCUCGGGGAGGGGCGGGGAGGCGAGGCUCGGAGCUUUGCCGCGCGCUGCGGGGUGCGGGCUCCCCGCCGCCCUCCCUCCGCGCCUCCCCGGGCGAGCAGUGAUCGCCUCGUGCACCGGAGCCCGUCAGACCGCCCGGGGACGGCGCAAGUGGCGGUGGCCGGACGACGUUCGGUGUACUUUGACGGAGGUUUCUUCCGCACGCUACGGCCCUUUCGUGUAGCCCUCCGCACGCCGCGGCCUGGAAAGGACUCCGGGGACUGUAUUGUUCUAUAUAUAAUUCCUUCAAAGUGCAGAGAAUCCGAGAGAACUGUUUUCCCACUUCUGCUUGACGGUUCCUCAGUGGGAUCUGCUUCGGGAAAACUGAUCAAGCAAGUUUGUGCUUCUGUGUGA
rnacentral:lncRNA from 1 species